rnacentral:rRNA from 1 species
GCCAGACUCCUACGGGAGGCAGCAGUGAGGAAUAUUGGUCAAUGGUCGGGAGACUGAACCAGCCAAGCCGCGUGAGGGAGGAAGGUACAGAGUAUCGUAAACCUCUUUUGUCAGGGAACAAAGGCGGGGACGUGUCCCCGGAUGAGUGUACCUGAAGAAAAAGCAUCGGCUAACUCCGUGCUAGCAGCCGCGGUAAUACGGAGGAUGCGAGCGUUAUCCGGAUUUAUUGGGUUUAAAGGGUGCGCAGGCGGUCUGUUAAGUCAGCGGUCAAAGCCCGGGGCUCAACCCCGUCCGGCCGUUGAAACUGGGGGCCUUGAGUGGGCGAGAAGAAGGCGGAAUGCGUGGUGUAGCGGUGAAAUGCAUAGAUAUCACGCAGAACCCCGAUUGCGAAGGCAGCCUUCCGGCGCCCUACUGACGCUGAGGCACGAAAGCGUGGGUAUCGAACAGGAUUAGAUACCCGAGUACAG